UACGUAGGGGGCAAGCGUUGUCCGGAAUCAUUGGGCGUAGAGAGCGUGUAGGCGGCCCGAUAAGUCCGCCGUGAAAGUCCAGGGCUCAACCCUGGAAUGCCGGUGGAAACUGUCGGGCUGGAGUCCGGAAGAGGCGAGUGGAAUUCCCGGUGUAGCGGUGAAAUGCGCAGAUAUCGGGAGGAACACCAAUGGCGAAGGCAGCUCGCUGGGACGUUACUGACGCUGAGACGCGAAAGCGUGGGGAGCAAACAGG
rnacentral:rRNA from 1 species